AGUGGGAUAGCUGGGUCAAAUGGUGGUUCCAUUUCAAGUUUUCCAAGGAACCUCCAUACUGCUUUCCAGAUUGGCUGCACCAAUGUGCAGUUCCCACCAGCAAU
rnacentral:pre_miRNA from 1 species